ACUCGGAUGAGGCACUCUAU
rnacentral:miRNA from 1 species